rnacentral:rRNA from 1 species
CAGCCGCCGCGGUAAUACCGGCGGCCCGAGUGGCGGCCACUAUUAUUGGGCUUAAAGCGUCCGUAGCCGGGUUGGGAAGUCCUCCGGGAAAUCUGGCCGCUUAACGGUCAGAAUUCCGGGAGAUACUGCCAGCCUAGGGACCGGGAGAGGCCGAGGGUAUUCCCGGAGUAGGGGUGAAAUCCUAUAAUCCCGGGAGGACCACCUGUGGCGAAGGCGCUCGGCUGGAACGGGUCCGACGGUGAGGGACGAAGGCCAGGGGAGCAAACCGGAUUAGAUACCCGGGUAGUCCUGGCUGUAAACGAUGCGGACUUUGUGUCGGACAAGCUAUGAGCUUGUCCGGUGCCGGAGGGAAACCGUUAAGUCCGCCGCCUGGGGAGUACGGCCGCAAGGCUGAAAUUUAAAGGAAUUGGCGGG